UCCGGUUUAUCACCGGCAGUCUCGUUAGAGUGCCCAACUUAAUGAUGGCAACUAACAAUAGGGGUUGCGCUCGUUGCGGGACUUAACCCAACAUUUCACAACACGAGCUGACGACAGCCAUGCAGCACCUGUCUCACGGUUCCCGAAGGCACUAAGCCAUCUCUGGCGAAUUCCGUGGAUGUCAAGAGUAGGUAAGGUUCUUCGCGUUGCAUCGAAUUAAACCACAUGCUCCACCGCUUGUGCGGGCCCCCGUCAAUUCAUUUGAGUUUUAACCUUGCGGCCGUACUCCCCAGGCGGUCGACUUAACGCGUUAGCUCCGGAAGCCACGCCUCAAGGGCACAACCUCCAAGUCGACAUCGUUUACAGCGUGGACUAC
rnacentral:misc_RNA from 1 species